GACGAACCGUGCGAACGUUGUUCGGAAUCACUGGGCUUAAAGGGCGCGUAGGCGGGGGAGCAAGUCUGGGGUGAAAUCUUUCGGCUCAACCGGAAAAUGGCCUUGGAUACUGCUUCUCUUGAGGAAUGUAGGGGUCGAUGGAACUUCCGGUGGAGCGGUGAAAUGCGUAGAUAUCGGAAGGAACGCCGGUGGCGAAAGCGGUCGACUGGACAUUUUCUGACGCUGAGGCGCGAAAGCCAGGGUAGCGAACGGG
rnacentral:rRNA from 1 species